ensembl:lncRNA
GGGGGCGGGGCCGAGGCGCCUAUGACUCCGCCCCCAAUAAACUCCCCACUCGGUAAACAAGCCGCUGCGGCGCCUGGGGCUUCUUGUGCGCGCCUGGGGCUUCUCGUGCAAGCCCGGCGCCGAGUUACAUCACGGUCCCCUGGAGUUUUAAACCCCGGCCGCCUGGUCCCCGCGGCCCUCGCCUGCCCGCCCGCCGCCUGUGUCCGAGGAGCGGAGAGUCAGCGAGGCGUCUCCCUCCCCAGGCUCCUCAGGGCAGGAAGGCCUCCAGGUUUUCUCGGGCGGCCCCUGGGACUUCGUGGAAACCGAUUCAGCUGGAGGGAAGGGGUCACGGCGUGGCCGCACAGGAACUGCACCUCAGUUUCCCCACCUGUGAAACCAGGGGGCUGCGUGAGGGUUCUGUGCCAUCCAACUAGGGGCAGGAGAGGUGCGCCCUGAGCCCGGGGCGAGGGGCCGACCCCCGAAAGAAAUGGCUGCGGCCAGAGCCGAGCUUUCUCCUUGAGCGGUGGAGCUCGCAAAAAGCCAGGUGUCCCAGAACGCAGACCCUCCCCUCCGAGGGGCCUGGGUGACCGUGAGUCGCACAGAACAAAAAGAUGACUUUGUAGUAUCCUAGCAUCUCCCCUCUCCCGAUUUGCGGCGGGACAAAGACCCUCUGGGUAGAAGGAAGACCUGCCCGCCACCCCCACAGCGGGUUUGCGCUCUGAAAAAGGUGUUGCGGCGCAAUAUCCACAGCUUGCACGUCGGAGCCUGAGUUGAGCCUCAGGCGCCCGAGGAGGCAAUGGGUCCCCGCCUGUGGCAGACAGUAGAUGGGCCAGAACAGGUCCGGAAGGCCGCAGAAGGGACGCUGGCCCCAUCGAGCCCCAGGAGGUGCCCGGUCCGGGGACUCCACGGUUUGGUGAUUCUGCACCUGCGCUCUCCAAUAAGUUGGAUUUCAGGCACAACAACCACCCUAUGACGUCCGAAGAGUUAUUAUCCAUUGUUCAUGGGUGAGGAAACCGAGGCACAGAAACGUUAAAUCAACUUGCUCAAGGUCACAGAGCUAGAAAGAGGCAAAACUUGGAUGGGAACUAGGCUGUCUGGCUUUGUGUUUGUGCUGCAAAUCACUUCAUUACACAGCUUCUCCCCCGAUACUGGAGGAAUCUAUUGUGUUUUGUUUUCCUUGACUGCUUCCUUUGCUAACCAGUUUAUGAUAAACCUCUAACACAUGCUCACUGUCUAAAACCUGAGAUCGCCUUUCACGUAUUAAAAAUGAGGUAGCAAAGUGACCAAACUCAUGCGGGAGAAGAAAUAAAUCCCAGAGGAAUAAAUCUUCCUAUCUUUCUUUGUCCAUUUCUCUACGUGGGUGGGCAGGAAAGCACUGUCUGUGAACGGGUGUAGCUUGUUAAAAGAGACAUUGUAGCUGAAGGUUGCAGAGGCCUGGGCUGAUAGGUGUCCUUAGUUU